rnacentral:lncRNA from 10 species
GGGCUCUUUGUUCUUCUGGAGCUUCCGACUGCAUAAGCAGUGAAUAGGUGAUUUUGUUCUCAGCUGUUGACAUGGUCGUUGGGAGGAAGAGUCAGGUAGAUGUUUUUAUCAUCGUCAGUAGGUGCCCUGGGGUUCAGAGUCAUGUAGCCGCCGUCAGCUGUUUCAUAGUCAUUGUUGGUUUCUUCAAGUUGUCUCUUUCUGAUGGCAAUCAUUUGACGUCCAGGUGGCUGCAGGAAAGCAUUUAAAACCCAUAGGAUAAUUCAAUACACCGGGGAGGUAAAUACAAUAACUAUAAGGAGAAUAAUAGCCAAGGAUUGAAAAAUUCCUCUGAGCAAAGAUUCUCGGGAGCCAAGACUUAACCAAUCAAAUAAAUUAAUGAAUACAAAUAAAUAUUAUCUGAUGAAAAACUCAUGUAUGUUCUUUAAAGUCUUUUAAAUUUUAGGAGGCUAUUGUUUUGCACUAAGCUCCUGCACUAGGCCCAAACAGAACAGACUAAAAAUCAAAGUGGAAUCACCCAUGAUAAAGUUUCAAGUCAUCAAACAGAAACUACAUUCUUAUCUGGCCUUUGGAAAAAUCAGGAGAGAGAGAUAAUAACCUAAUAACCUAAAAAUCUAAUUUCCCAAACAGGCCAGUUUCAAUUGGCAUCCUUACAAAAGAGUAACCUGAUGUUAACCAACCAGUUAUUUAUUAUUCUGUUUUCCUAUUCCUGUCUUUUGCAACUUUAACCAGUUUUAAAAUAGCCAAUCCACUUUAAAUUCUUUGUUUCUGCUUUCUUCAGACCUUUUUCUGUCUAUGAAGCCAAUCUCCUCUGCUGUAACUCAUUGGAAACCUUAUUCUAAUUUAAGGAGGCAAGUGUUGCCCAGUUCUAGAAUCACCAUAAAGCCAGCUGAGAUCUUCAACCAUUUCUUUUGACAUCAGUAGGAACACAAGCUCCUCCUUGUUAAGCUGUUAAGAUAUCAAGAACUUCUAUUUUGGGGUGCUAUUGAGGCUAACUUGCUCAUUUUAGAUUGUAUUGCUUGAAAGGAAUUCAGAGUAUUCUUCUAUUAAAAAAACAAAGUUAAUAUUUGGAGCAAAUUAUGAUCUUAGUUUUUGAGUUUAGAGGGCAGCUAGGUGAAACAAUUUCUAGAGGUGAGUUUGAGGCAAGUUUAAAUGGUAGACUGAAGAUAGCAGUUGCAAUGUGAUGUGCUUUACUGGUUUGCAAUUUGAAUGUCUCUGGUUAUUUCAUUAAACAUUCUGGUAAACUCUCUGAGUGACCCAGAUAGCAGCAGGCAUUAAGAUUGGCAUUAAGGCAUAAGUGCUCUGUUGCAGUGAUUUUUCUGAAGCUUAAAGUCACCAGUUUCAGUUUGCAGAGCUUUGGAAAAGGGCAGUUUUAGUUUUUAGUGGAACUAAAAAACAAAAAUUCAGGAGUCAAUCUGGUUUAUAGGGAGAUAAUAAAACUUCAAAGAAAAUGAACAGGCCUAGAAUUUGACAAUGGAUGCACAAUAGUUUUCUACUAAAAUAUAAUCUUUUUUAUUCUGGAGAAAAAUAUUUUUAUUUUCCAUUUUUACCGAAAAUCAAAGUUAACUUUUUUGCAAAAAUAAAUCUAGUUUCAUUAAAUUUGACCUGAUUAUUUAUAUAGGUAUAAUAAAAACAGUAAUUUUAAAAUAUAUUUUAGCCACAGCUUUGGUGAUAUCCAAGAGACUUUACUGACUUUUUAUCAGUCAACUUUAGUUUUUAAAAACUAUCUAGUAAUUGAGAAAUCUCAGAUUAGACCUUUAAAAGCCUCUCUAGGCUAAGAAGCCAAGCCAAGGACUUGCCCAAUUAUGUCCUGUUACAAGGAGAAUAGAUUCUUAUUGAACCUAUGCAAAUACCCAGAUUGAAAAUAAAAAUACUUAAUAAGAGUUUCCAAAUUCUGAAACAAUCAGGUAGAGAGAAAAAGAUAAGUGGAACACUUUUUUAUUUUUGUUUUAGUAGUUUGUCUUAUCUGGAAAUGGUGUAGAUAUUUAAUGAAUACCUGUCAUUUCAUUUAACAUAGUUAAAGUGGCAAACAUAAUAUUAACAAAACCAACUACCUGUCAUCUCAAGGUAUUUUUUUGACAAAUUGUAUAGCAGACAACAUGAGCUUAUUUGGGUAAAACUAGGUGGAAUAUUCACUUUCAUUAAUACCAAUAUUCUCAUUUAUUAAAGAUUACUCAGGUCAUAUGAAGUUGAAAAGCAUUUUGGCAAAGUUCUUUUCUUCUGAGAAAAUAUGUAAUUUAUAUAAGUGCUUAUUUUUCUCUAGGCCAGUUGAGCUCCUUUAAUACUGUUUCUAAUAAAUACCAUCUGGAGGUAGAAUAAUAUUAUGUACAAAUAGCAUACACAUGUGUAGAUAUAUGUAAACAUACAGAAAGAUGCAAACAGAAAUUCAUGGCUUUUGUUCUGAAAUUUUAGCCAUGUGCCAGGUAUAAUAAUAUAAAACUAAUUAGUUGGAUCUAGCCUCUAGUUAAAGUUAGCUGUUCUGAUGGCUGGCACUUUUUAUUGAUAUUUGUGGAGAGGACUAUUAAGAUUUUUCAUUUGCCAGUUUGUUUCUAAAAAAUUCCUCCUUUUUUCUUUUUGAUGAGUCAUUUUGCUGAAGCUUGUGUUUUAAAAACAUUUACACAACUCAAAGGCCCAGAGAAAGGGUACGAAGCUUCUCCAAGAAGGAGUUUUGGGGCAUUUUCACCUAUUAUUAGGAGUCAAUCUUAUUGAGACUGGAUUAAAUUUUAAAUGAGUGACUAACGAGACACCUAGUUUAUCUGGCCUAUUUCCAAUUAGUUUUUAUUAUUUUUAGCCUUAGUGGUUGCUUUUAUAAUAGUUCAUGUGUGCAAUAACAAGAGUUAAAUUUAGUUGUUGUAGAUACUCCUGGCUCAUUUGAGGAUCUAAUUUUUUAAGGACGUUAGCAUUGAGUAGGUUCAGAUGGAAAAAGCAAGCAAUCAAAGAGGUUAAUAGGUUUAGAAUACUUUCUUAUUAGCACAUUGUAAAGAUUUACUUAGAGAGACUAUUUUUUUAAAUCAUUCUUUUAGAAACCUUUACAUACCAAUCAAAAUUAUUUAUCAUUGUUUCUGAGACAUUUGGGAUCUCAUUUUUUCCCAAUGCAUCCCUUAAAUGAACAAUUUUUUCUAGAUUUAAACAUCCUCACUGUGACCAUUGCAACUUUAAGUCAUCUCUGGUAAGGCUCAAUAGGUAAGGCACACCUAUUUCUCUAGAAAGUCACAGGUUCUGGGCCCAUAUUAUCUGAACAUAGAAAUCACUGUGUUUCAGAUGGAGGAGUCCCAGACUCUGUACAUUCUGACAAAGCCAUAAUAUCUUGCCCUUCUGAAAUUUACCUACCUGAGGACUCCAACUGGACCCCCAGUUCGGUUUCUGUUGAACACCUAGUUCAAUCUGUCAAGUACCCAAUUUGACCUCUGGAUCCCAAUCCAGAAAUCAGACCUUGUCUGGAAACUAGUACACUAUACUGGACCUAGUAUAGUUCCUGUUGGAAACAGAUGAACUUGUCAAAUACCAAGAUUAACUGCUGAAUCAAAUGAGAAAUAAAAUUACUCAAAUAAACUCAGAGAGCUCAGGACACAAGUUGCAAGCCUGAUAUCUGAGAGGGACUUACCUAGUGACUCACAAAUGCAGGAAGAAACCAGUGAACACAAUGGGCUUAAUGGGUACCUAUGCCUGGUCACCCAUUGCUCUUAGGGAUCUUUGGGGGAGAUUCUACUUUAUAUCCUACUUCUGACACCAAACUGUUAAAGAAAAAUCUAAGGCACAAUACAAUUUUAAAGAGUUCAUUUGAAUAAGAAGCAAUUCAUGAAUUGGGUGACACCAAACCAAAAGAGGUCUAAUGUUUUAAUGACAGAAAGUCAGAGACAAGUAUUAAUUUGGAAAAUGUGGAAGAAAAAUAAAGAAAUUUGAUAGGUUUGCAGUUACAUAAUUGUCUUUUGGGUGAGGUACCUUAC